AGGAAGGAAGAGAGAGUAUGGCAGAACUGGACACCUCCUCCAGAGAAGGCAAGGAAGGGAGGAGGAGAGAGGAAGGCGGGGCAGCCUCAAGCCUCACUCAGCACUGAGCCCAAUGCUGGUUGAUGAGCUAAAAAUAUAAUGACAGCACAGGAAACGCGAGGCAUGAAUAUGGAUGAAAUUCCUCACUGAGACCACAAGGGUACGGUUCAAUUAUUUGCCAUAUAAAGCUUGAAAAUACUGUCGUAGGCUUCAGAUUCUUCAGUGCACUUAUUGGAACUGAACUUGAUGUGCCUGGCUCCUGCAAACACAGGCUGGUGCCACCACUGGCUGAGAUGAUGUUGCUCUGUCUUCUGGAUCCAUCGCUGAGAAUUCAAAGCUCUCGUAAGAGGGCCUGCGGUGGGGAGGACUGCUAUCAAUGCCAUUGUCUUUUGCUUUGAAUUUGUUUCUUAAGCCGCCCUAGCAUCUUCCCCUCUGCAGAUUUGCUUGUCUGCCAGAAUCCCAAAUCAACCUGAUGGCUUAGGGAUUUCACUCUAUGAUCUGGAAAUCCAUGUUCCUUCUUCCCCUUCCCCACUCCUGGGAGUGGGCUCCUUUCUUCAGCCAUCACACGGACCACAUUCAGGGCUGAUGGGGGGAGCGUUUCAGCUGGACAGGGGCAGAUGGCCUCAUUGUCGUUAAUGUGUAGUGAUGGGAGAAUCCCAAAGGUGCUGGUGGCGUAAUCUGGAGACAGCUGGAAAGCCGGACUGAUGUGUUUUCUGAAGCGUCUCGGCAGCCUUUGGAGGCAGCUUCGUGUGAGUGUGUUUAACUCCCAUCUUUGUCCCUUGUUCUCAUGCCAGCCUCCUCUGGAUGCCUACCAGAUUCCUUCCUGCCUGUGUGACUCCAUGCCCUGUCUCUGUCUCUCCUUGGAACUGCAUGGCAGGGACUCCUUCCUUGUGUGAUGGGGGAGCAGGCACUGAGGAGGGAAGAAGGGGCGGGGCACAGCUAGGCAGCUGGUGCCGGCCACCACCUUUCCCUUCUGAGCCCACCCCCUUCCUUUUGCCUCUGCUUGCUUUUGCCUCCAGUUCCUCCCAAUCCAGCUUGCCAUUGUGCCGGGGCAGGCCCAGCAAGAGGAGGACACUAGCCAGGCCUCUGGGAGGGCAUCUGCUUUGGCUGAUAAGUACCCCUGUCUUUCUCCUCCCCUUCAGCAGGGCGGAG
rnacentral:lncRNA from 1 species